rnacentral:lncRNA from 1 species
UAAGCUCUUGUUACCAAGUUUUAAACAGUUUUACCUCUCGACCUCGUAUAUUGCUCUACAAAUGACCCAUCUAUUAAAUUAAUUGCAUCCUUCCUAGCCCUAUAUGCAGACAUCCUACUAACUCCGACAUUCCAUUUCUCAUGAACCUUAUUACAAAUUUCUGAUAACUUUAUAUUGGGAUUCUCUUUUAUAGAUGUAAUUAAUAUUUUCCCUAACCAAAUUGCUCUUAUUAACUUCACCCUAUACUCUCUACUACAUGUGUGUUAUUCAAAUUCUUUAAUUGCCAUAUAUCCUCAUUGGGGUAGUUUGGAACAUAAAGCAACCUAUGGACAACCAUCCUUACAACUGAAUCAUACUCCAAUCUUGUCAUUCUUUAAAAUAUAAUGUAUUUUCCACUAUGGAUAGCAUAAGUAUUAAAAGUGUCCUAAAAUGCAUCCCGUGUAAUAUUGAUGGAGUUAUUUUUAGCUACCCUAGUUCCGCUACUUGUGGAGAUACAUUUAGGGACAAGACGGUUGUUACCCUAGGUUGUUUUGCAGUGAAUUUGAGGAUUACAACGUUGCUACAUGUUGAGCUUAUUGGAGUUAUGGUUGCUAUUGAAAUAGCCUACUAGAAUGGGUGGCUUUCAUUAUGGAUUCAAUUUAAUUCUCAAUUGACAAAUUUGACUUUCAAGAAUAAUAGUCUUGUUCUUUGGUUUUUUAGAAAUAUAUUGGUUGCCUGCCUUGAGUUGCUAAUUAAGGACUUCCCAUUGCUAAUAGUCAUUGGUGGGAUAUUUUUCCUCCUAGUAUUUCUGAUGUUUUCAAUAGAAAUGGGGUUUGUCUAGUUGAAUAUAUAUAUUUUUUAUUUAUGUAGAUGUUUACUACUCUUUUUUCCUUCAGCAUGGUUUUUUCCUUUCGAGUUUUCCUAGUAAAUUUUUAAAGAGGCAAUAGUUUAUAUCCCUUAGGAUUGUCAUCUUGGGUUUUGGUAUAGU